rnacentral:rRNA from 1 species
GAUGAACGCUGGCGGCGUGCCUAAUACAUGCAAGUCGAGCGAACGGACGAGAAGCUUGCUUCUCUGAUGUUAGCGGCGGACGGGUGAGUAACACGUGGAUAACCUACCUAUAAGACUGGGAUAACUUCGGGAAACCGGAGCUAAUACCGGAUAAUAUUUUGAACCGCAUGGUUCAAAAGUGAAAGACGGUCUUGCUGUCACUUAUAGAUGGAUCCGCGCUGCAUUAGCUAGUUGGUAAGGUAACGGCUUACCAAGGCAACGAUGCAUAGCUGACCUGAGAGGGUGAUCGGCCACACUGGAACUGAGACACGGUCCAGACUCCUACGGGAGGCAGCAGUAGGGAAUCUUCCGCAAUGGGCGAAAGCCUGACGGAGCAACGCCGCGUGAGUGAUGAAGGUCUUCGGAUCGUAAAACUCUGUUAUUAGGGAAGAACAUAUGUGUAAGUAACUGUGCACAUCCUGACGGUACCUAAUCAGAAAGCCACGGCUAACUACGUG